rnacentral:rRNA from 1 species
CCUGAUGUUAGCGGCGGACGGGUGAGUAACACGUGGGUAACCUGCCUGUAAGACUGGGAUAACUCCGGGAAACCGGGGCUAAUACCGGAUGGUUGUUUGAACCGCAUGGUUCAAACAUAAAAGGUGGCUUCGGCUACCACUUACAGAUGGACCCGCGGCGCAUUAGCUAGUUGGUGAGGUAACGGCUCACCAAGGCAACGAUGCGUAGCCGACCUGAGAGGGUGAUCGGCCACACUGGGACUGAGACACGGCCCAGACUCCUACGGGAGGCAGCAGUAGGGAAUCUUCCGCAAUGGACGAAAGUCUGACGGAGCAACGCCGCGUGAGUGAUGAAGGUUUUCGGAUCGUAAAGCUCUGUUGUUAGGGAAGAACAAGUACCGUUCGAAUAGGGCGGUACCUUGACGGUACCUAACCAGAAAGCCACGGCUAACUACGUGCCAGCAGCC